ACCCCAUAAAUAAAGUUUUAAACUUNUUUUAGAA
rnacentral:tRNA from 1 species